GAGUAAAGCGGCGGACGGGUGAGUAACGCGUAGGAAUCUACCUGGUAGUGGGGGACAACUUGGGGAAACUCAAGCUAAUACCGCAUACGCCCUAAGGGGGAAAGCGGGGGACCUUCGGGCCUCGCGCUAUCGGAUGAGCCUGCGUAGGAUUAGCUAGUUGGUGGGGUAAAGGCCCACCAAGGCGACGAUCCUUAGCUGGUCUGAGAGGAUGAUCAGCCACACUGGAACUGAGACACGGUCCAGACUCCUACGGGAGGCAGCAGUGGGGAAUAUUGCGCAAUGGGCGAAAGCCUGACGCAGCCAUGCCGCGUGUGUGAAGAAGGCCUUAGGGUUGUAAAGCACUUUCAAUUGGGAAGAAAAGUUUGUCGUUAAUAGCGCCAAGCUCUGACAUUACCUUUAGAAGAAGCACCGGCUAACUCCGUGCCAGCAGCCGCGGUAAUACGGAGGGUGCGAGCGUUAAUCGGAAUUACUGGGCGUAAAGCGCGCGUAGGCGGUUUGUUAAGUCAGCUGUGAAAGCCCCGGGCUCAACCUGGGAACUGCAGUUGAUACUGGCCGACUAGAGUACGAGAGAGGGAGGUAGAAUUCCAUGUGUAGCGGUGAAAUGCGUAGAUAUAUGGAGGAAUACCAGUGGCGAAAGCGGCCUCCUGGCUCGAUACUGACGCUGAGUGCGAAAGCGUGGGGAUCAAACAGGAUUAGAUA
rnacentral:rRNA from 1 species